UGCCCCAUGGCUGAGUUGGUUACAGCGUCCGACUGUUAAACUAAGACGAUACACUAUCGGAAGGUCGAGAGUUCGAGCCUCUCUGGGGCAG
rnacentral:tRNA from 1 species